rnacentral:rRNA from 1 species
CGCGUAGGCGGCCGGGCAAGUCGGAGGUGAAAGCCCUCGGCUCAACCGAGGAAUUGCCUCUGAUACUGCCUGGCUUGAGUCCCGGAGAGGGUAGCGGAAUUCCCAGUGUAGCGGUGAAAUGCGUAGAUAUUGGGAGGAACAUCGGUGGCGAAGGCGGCUACCUGGACGGGUACUGACGCUGAGGCGCGAAAGCGUGGGGAGCAAACA